ensembl:lncRNA POT1-AS1 POT1 antisense RNA 1
CAACGGGAGCGCAGGGCCAAGAUACCCUUUAUAUCAAACCGUCUAUCCUGGAGCAGAAAAAUCCUGUCUUCAUUGCUAUAGCUACAGAUUCAGAAAUGAGCAUGUAACAAAUUCAGGCCAAAGAGAGGCAAUGGAAAUCAGAGAAACACUGUUCCUGAAAGCUUCUGUCACUCAAGAAUCCAUGAAACAUUCAUGAACUUCACAUCAGGUCACUGGGUAAUAGGAUGUAAAGAGGAGUUCUCAAAACAACCUCACAGACCCAGAAUAAUCAAAACAAUUGAAGACUUAACUUCAAUUUCAAAACUUACCACAGAGCAAGAGUAAUCAAGACAGUAUGGUACUUCCCUAAGGACAAACAUAUAUGAAUGAAAGAGAAACCAGAUUUUGGAAAUUUUAAAGAGUGUCAAGACCAUUCAGCAAGGAAUGAAUAGUCUUUUCAACAAAUUGUGAGACAAUAGAUAUUCACAUGCAAAAAAUGUACCUGGACUCCUACCUCACGCCAUAUAAAAAUAUUAACUCAAAAUGGAUUAUAGGGAGGAAGUGGAGGAAGAUGACCAGAAAAAACCUUCCAGUGAUUAUCCCUAACUUGCCCUGCAGGAAGACCAAAUUGAACAACUAUCCACAAAGGAAAGCACCAUCAUAUGAGGCAAAAAUCAGGAUGGAUACCAUUCAAGCCCAAGGAAAACCAAUGCUUCUUUUCAUCUAUGGACUCAAGUCUCAGAAAGCAGAGAAGUGAGUGUACCAAGUGCAACAAACGUUUGAGCAUUGUUCUGCUGCCAAUAUUGAAGACAGCCACUGCUUUGAAGUGUGGGGAGGAGAGCUAGAGCAUAUUUGCCUGCCACAGUUAGUUUUGUGUUUCCAUGGAAUUUGAGCAAAACUGAUGCACUUGUCUCCCAGGAUUAAUCCAUACAAGUCACCUCUAAAAUUAUCUUUUCCCAUUCGUUGACUGAGCAAAAUGGACUUCAAGGACCUAAAGGAGGUUAAAUACCACAAGAUGGAGGAGCUUGAGUCUCUGAAUCAUUGUGUGUGAAGUCAUCUGCCAAUUACAUAAAUUGAAUUCUUGGUGAGUGUGAAGUACACAAGUAGCCAUGUAAUUUUGGAAUGAAUGUUACAGAAAUUUACUUACCCUGCCUAAUACACUCCUACCAUUUCAAUUAAUUAGUUCUACUGUAUGUUUAAUGGGAUGAAAUGUAUGUAUAUGUUUUUAUUCUCUAUUUUCUAUUGUUAUGCAUAGCAUAUAAAUUUCUAACA